AUUCUUUUAGUAUAAACCAGUACGGCCGACUUCCAAUCAGCUAGUUUCGACAACAUUCGAAAAAGAAUA
ensembl:Mt_tRNA